GAUGAACGCUGGCGGCGUGCCUAAUACAUGCAAGUCGAGCGAACGGACGAGAAGCUUGCUUCUCUGAUGUUAGCGGCGGACGGGUGAGUAACACGUGGAUAACCUACCUAUAAGACUGGGAUAACUUCGGGAAACCGGAGCUAAUACCGGAUAAUAUUUUGAACCGCAUGGUUCAAAAGUGAAAGACGGUCUUGCUGUCACUUAUAGAUGGAUCCGCGCUGCAUUAGCUAGUUGGUAAGGUAACGGCUUACCAAGGCAACGAUGCAUAGCCGACCUGAGAGGGUGAUCGGCCACACUGGAACUGAGACACGGUCCAGACUCCUACGGGAGGCAGCAGUAGGGAAUCUUCCGCAAUGGGCGAAAGACUGACGGAGCAACGCCGCGUGAGUGAUGAAGGUCUUCGGAUCGUAAAACUCUGUUAUUAGGGAAGAACAUAUGUGUAAGUAACUGUGCACAUCUUGGCGGUACCUAAUCAGAAAGCCACGGCUAACUACGUG
rnacentral:rRNA from 1 species